rnacentral:lncRNA from 1 species
AAAAAGGUUUUAUUUAUCUGAAAAUGGGUUUUAUUUAUCUGAAAAUGGGUGUUAUUUAUCUGAAAAAGGGUUUUAUUUAUCUGAAAAAGGGUUUUAUUUAUCUGAAAAUGGGUGUUAUGUCCUGAAAAAGGUUUUAUUUAUCUGAAAAAAGGUUUUAUGUAUCUGAAAAGGGUUUUAGGCGCAAUCUGUGCCCCAGCCAGAUCCAGAUCCAGGAUCCCAGAGCCAGGUCCAUGGAAGGCUAAAGAACCACAAACUCUCCAUGGAAUUCUCCACUACACAGGAAUAAAUAUGGAUAUCGAGAAGAUGAAGAAGAUUAUGAAGAAAGAAGAAGGACAAGAGGCAACACCUUAAAUCUUCUAUUUUGUCUUCUGUUCUCUAAGCUAGUUUAAAUUUUAAGUUUUUCACCCAAUGACUUAAGAAAACUCUAAUUUCCACACACUUUUAGCUUUUCUAUUUAACAGUUGUUUUCAUGGUGUUCUAUGAAAUUCAGAGUUUUCUUGGAUGUCAGAGCCAGGUAUCAGAGAUAAGGGCAUGAACUCUGUGCCUCAGACUACAGCAGGGUGUGGGAGGGAGGUUUUAUCCCUUCUUGGUGCUUUAUUAAUAUAAUAUAAUAUAAUAUAAUAUAAUAUAAUAUAAUAUAAUAUAAUAUAAUAUAAUAUAAUAUAAUAUAAUAUAAUAUAAUAUAAUAAU